rnacentral:misc_RNA from 1 species
GCUUUAUGUGCUGCACAAGGUCUUACUUUCUUGCAUGAAGAAGGGCCUUUCCAGGCAAUGUACAAUGAAUUCUCUACUGGAAACAUACAGAUCGAUAAAGAUUUUAGUGCAAAGCUAUCAGGAUAUGGCUGGGUUGGUCAAAUUCCUGAGACAGAGAUCUCUGAAUAGUUCAGUGGCUGUGGCAAAUCUCUCUUUGGAGACACUGGAGAGAGGGCUGUUGAAGUCUCAGGACUCCAAAGAGCAAUGUAUGGAGUUUUGGAGUUGUUCUGCUUGAAUUACUUACUGGCCGGAAGAAUCUUGAUAAUCGCCAUCCCAAGGAAGAGAGGAACUUGGUUAAGUGGAGCCGGCCUUUCCUCGCUGAUGACUGUCGAUUGUCACUAAUUAUGG